CUUACACAACAAAACCAGAACGUAUACAGAUCAAAUGCAAACGGGGAUCUCGACAUUAUUCGAAUGUUUGGAGUUUUGUGUAUUUAAUGUAUGUGAUGGUGUUACAUUUAAGCAUUCAACCGGCAUAUGCUACAAGGAAAAUGGUAAUUCCAGUACCUAUACCUGCAACGAUUGUAUAUACUUUUCUAAAAGGACUCAAUGUACUGGAAUGGAUUAUACAAGUCUGACAAGAUGCCCCUAUAUAAAAGGCAAUGGUGGAACACCACUUAUUGGACUAAAUUCAAUAAAAGAGUGUGGUUCCGUAUGUUCAGUAACAUCGUCGUGCUUAUCAAUAACCUGGGAUAACGGACAAUGUUAUUUGUUUCAUGUACAGCCUAGCAGCUGGAGCAAUCAUCAAAGUUUUGCAUACUUAACUAAAGAAACUACAUGUGAUUUAACUACUGCUCAACCUGAAACAACGCCGACUACUACAGGUGUCAUGACCGAGUCAAUGUCCACGACAGAACUGUCUGAAACAACAACUGGUACCCCGACAGCUUCCAUGACAACAGUUGUCACCGAAACAACAACCGAACAGCCAGUAAUAAUUGGCACAGUUGUGGAAGGAUAUUUUAAACACCAAUCGACAGUAGUAAAUAAACAAGGAAGUUUGUUAAUAAAGAGAAGUCGCGUCUAUUGUGCUAGCCAAUGUUUGAAGGACAGUGGGUGUAAUGGAUUUAAUUAUGACACUAAUAAUAGACUGUGUAUUUUAAAAAACACUGGAUUUGACUAUAAACAAAUACAGCGUGCCACUUAGGCCAGUAUUUUUCACCGACAGCUCGCUAAUAAUCUUUCGGCCAGGAACACUAGUGUCCUUCACCGUGAUAUUUAAUUAAAAAUUUUCAUCUUUAUGAAACACAAUAGUAUGGGCUAUGUGCUCAGUCUCCGCCAACACUCUAUUGGGCUGUUUAUUUUGUCUCAACUCUGUUUUGUCACCUGGGGUUCCUCAAGGUUAUGUUCUUGGUCCGAUUUUAUUUACCCUUUAUACGUCACCAUUAGAUGAUAUUGCCAGAAAAUAUGGUCCCAGCUUUCAUGUGUAUGCCAAUGAUUCUCAGUUAUAUAUUCCAUUUACACCUAAUU